rnacentral:rRNA from 1 species
GAUGAACGCUGGCGGCGUGCCUAAUACAUGCAAGUCGAGCGAACGGACGAGAAGCUUGCUUCUCUGAUGUUAGCGGCGGACGGGUGAGUAACACGUGGAUAACCUACCUAUAAGACUGGGAUAACUUCGGGAAACCGGAGCUAAUACCGGAUGAUAUUUGAACCGCAUGGUUCAAAAGUGAAAGACGGUCUUGCUGUCACUUAUAGAUGGAUCCGCGCUGCAUUAGCUAGUUGGUAAGGUAACGGCUUACCAAGGCAACGAUGCAUAGCCGACCUGAGAGGGUGAUCGGCCACACUGGAACUGAGACACGGUCCAGACUCCUACGGGAGGCAGCAGUAGGGAAUCUUCCGCAAUGGGCGAAAGCCUGACGGAGCAACGCCGCGUGAGUGAUGAAGGUCUUCGGAUCGUAAAACUCUGUUAUUAGGGAAGAACAUAUGUGUAAGUAACUGUGCACAUCUUGACGGUACCUAAUCAGAAAGCCACGGCUAACUACGUG